AGAUUGAACGCUGGCGGCAGGCCUAACACAUGCAAGUCGAGCGGUAGAGAGGUGCUUGCAUCUCUUGAGAGCGGCGGACGGGUGAGUAAUGCCUAGGAAUCUGCCUAGUGGUGGGGGAUAACGUUCGGAAACGGACGCUAAUACCGCAUACGUCCUACGGGAGAAAGCGGGGGACCUUCGGGCCUCGCGCCAUUAGAUGAGCCUAGGUCGGAUUAGCUAGUUGGUGAGGUAAUGGCUCACCAAGGCGACGAUCCGUAGCUGGUCUGAGAGGAUGAUCAGUCACACUGGAACUGAGACACGGUCCAGACUCCUACGGGAGCAGCGAGUAGGGGAAU
rnacentral:rRNA from 1 species